GCAUAUCAAUAAGCGGAGGAAAAGAAAAUAACAAUGAUUCCCUCAGUAACGGCGAGCGAAGAGGGAUAAGCUCAAAUUUUAAAUCUGUUAGGUUCUACUUAACCGAGUUGUAAUUUGAAGAAGCGUUUUCUGCGUAUUUGAUCAGCCCAAGUCCUAUUGAAUGAGGCAUCAUGGAGGGUGAUAAUCCCGUCCGGUUGAUCAUUGCGUUUUAUGAUACGUUUUCUAAGAGUCAAGUUGUUUGGGAUUGCAGCUUAAAAUGGGAGGUAAAUUUCUCCUAAGGCUAAAUAACGGCGAGAGACCGAUAGCGAACAAGUACCGUGAGGGAAAGAUGAAAAGCACUUUGAAAAGAGAGUUAAAUAGUACGUGAAAUUGUUGAAAGGGAAACGAUUGAAGCCAGUCGUACCGACGGAGAAUCAACCUUUGGAAUGCGAAUCGAGGUAUUCGAAGAGUUUAAAAGCCUUAGUGUGCUUUCGCAUUCGUGCUUCAUGGGUGCACUUCUUCGUAUGGUAGGUUAACAUCAAUUUUGGACGUUACAAAAUGAUCGGGGGAAUGUAGCUUCGAUUUUUCGAAGUGUUAUAGCCCUUGGUAGAUGUGACGACCGGGAUUGAGGAUUGCAACGAAUGCUUUCGGGCUAUCCGUCUGACCUCUGGUGGUCGCUCUGGGGUCGAAAGCGUGCUUACGACUUCAGAGUUUGGCUAUCAAAAGGCUAGAACGUGAUUAAAAUUCGUUAAGGAUGUUGACGUA
rnacentral:rRNA from 1 species